UGUACCGGAGUCAAAUUCCUUGUUUGUAUGUAUGAACUUGGCAAUAAAGCUGAUUCUGAUUCUCAGGGCUUACUCCACACAUAGAUAAUAGCACAAACCCAUAAACAGGACCUAGAUUUCUGCAUCAUAUGAAAAGUGUAAAACACAAAUGUAUUGUUCUUCCUUUAAACAUGAAUGGAGCUGGAGUUUGACAGAUGUGAUGAAUAAAACUUCAGGGCUCCAGCAGCAGAUGCUCUAUUUUCCUAGUUUACAGCAGCUGGAAGUGAACCCUACUGUCCUGUGUUCCUCAUGUCUUCAUAUUUCUCCUUUUUUCCUCCUUUAAAGACUGGAGGAAACUCAAAUUUAAACACAUUUCUUGGACAUUCAGAUCGGUAACUUAACCAUAAGAUUAGAACCUGGCAGGUUAAGGAUGAAGUCACAUCCUGCAAGGCAACACUGAGGAGAAAAUGAAAGCGGGAAACAGCCACCACUUAGUUUCACAGCUUUUUCCUCGGCUCAGUCCAACCAACCCUGUGAGUUUUCCUCUCUUUAAGUUCUACAACACCAACAUGAUGUUCUGAGUUCCGAACCGAGCCGCAGAACAGCUGGUUUAGUGAAAAACAAGCUGGGACACAGGAGCUGUCCUUUCAGCACCACGGUUACAAACAGAUCCGGACGGAAAAUCACCGUUUCUCACAAACGUGACAGCUCCUCUAACCGGACCCGAACCGGACACAGGUUUCACCUCCCUGAGCGGAAAUACAGCUUAAAGUCCCCACAGUCCGCCCGGACCAGAACCGCUUCCAGAUGGACUUAAUUAACGCGGAGAGCAGAGACGUUAUUGGCCUACUUACCAUCAAUCGCCAUGAUGUUCUGUUUGGCUUCAACCAAAGUGGGCGGUAAGAAAUGGGGAGCGGUCCACUGUGAGAGGGAGUCCGGGGGGAGGACGAGUCGUGCUCUUCCUCCUCCUGACUCAGAGCCUCGGCUGUUCACCUCCUGAUGCCUGGGUUCUGAUUCCUGAAACACCACAACUGCUCUGCUAAUUAACUCCAAGAACUUUCUUCCACCAGCGGCCCACUGACCUCCAUCACAGAAAGGGUCCAUAAUAGUUUCCAUGUCAUGUUGGUCUAACGAACGGAACUCAGAUGUUGGCUGAAAUCAACACUUCCUGUGAAUUUCACAGGUCAGUCAAUAUUAAUGCAUCACUGAUUAUUAUGUAGAAAAUAAGACUUUGUGACCCAAAGGAUGUCAACGCGUGACUUUUAACAAAAUGACACAUGAACAACAAGGAGAAUGAAGAUCAUUUCUUCUAGUCUAAUUUAACUGAUCUCAACCUAUUUCCUGAUUAGCUUCAUUAGGCCUCGUUUAUGUCCUGCAAAUCAAGGCUGGGAUUGAUACUGCAGGCUGCUGGUGCUCUUAUAUAAACUUAAAACCAUGGAGUCAAAAUUCUGGUUGGGUUCUGGAUCUCGAUUAGAUGCUGUUCUUGUGAUUUCAGUAAUACCACAUAUACCGCAUGGCAAUAAGUACCUGUGCAUGUUGACUUCCUUCUAUUUAUAGCUGCCACUCACUGACGGCCUCAUCAAAGCAUCUCCUUCCUGUUGUCAUAGAAACAGGCCGCUGUGUCCAUUAGCUCCUCCGUCUGCCAGCUGC